UUUUUCUGACAGCCAGAACAUAUUUGUAAUUGCACCUGUAGGGGGCGGCAGCUGCUUGUUUUUGAGAAGGAUUCAUGAAGCUAUGAAAUCUAACAGCUGAAGUGUGUUUAUGCAAAUUCACCCUGUUAUAAAAAACAGUCUCUUGCAGUUUGAAGUUUGUCUCACACGACUGAAUCAAAGAGCAUGAUGAUGGGGCUGAGGGUCACUCAGUACUACAUCUUUGUUAUAAUGUUAACCAAAGGUGUCAAUAGUGAUGAGAUCAGACUGGACCAGUCUCCUGCUGUGGUAAAGAGACCUGGAGAAACUGUGAAGAUCUCCUGUAAGAUACACGGCUUUGAUAUGACUGACGACCUCAUGCACUGGAUCAGACAGAAACCAGGGAAAGCUCUGGAAUGGCUUGGAUAUGUGAACUCUGGUACAACAGAUGAACCCACAUAUGCAGACACAGUGAAAGGGCAUUUUCUCCUCUCUGAAGACGUCUCAGCAAGCACACAGUAUUUAGAGGCCAAGAGUCUGAGGACAGAGGACACUGCGGAUUAUUACUGCGCCCGACGUCCCACAGUGACUGAAGCUGAGGAAGCAGCUGUACUAAAACCAGACACACAUUGUAACUGAACUAACUAAAGUUGCUAGAGAUACUAGUGAUAAACACUCUGUAUCUGUUUUCUGCUCCAAUUAUCUAU